GGGCCCGUAGCUCAGCGGUAGAGCAGUGGACUUUUAAUCCAUCGGUCGGAGGUUCGAUCCCUCCCGGGCCUACCA
rnacentral:tRNA from 1 species